ensembl:lncRNA
AGGACGUGGGGACGUGGAGGCAUGUGUGUGUGAGGACGUGGGUGUGUGCGUUCUUGUGGGUUCCGGUCGGCCGGGCUGGGCUGCGGCCUGAGGGGUUGCCUCCUGACCACCUAGUCGCACGGCGUGGUAGUGUAUUUUUCAAUUCUGGAAUUCUGAGCAAGAACCCGAGUCUGCCUCAACCAGAAAAACAACGGAAGCAUAGCUUUCCCAGAGGUCUCAGCCUGUGAAUUUCCACUGAUACCUUCUUGGUCAGACUUGGGUCCCACAGCCACUCCUUGCUGCAAGGAAGUUUGGAGAGAUACGUCUUUUUUCCACGUUGAGAUCCAGCUGUCAAGUGGGUCCUGUGAGGACGAAUGGGAGAAGGGACCUUGGGUAGGUCAGGUCCAGCUCACCUGUGAACAGUUUAUAGUGGACUGGGUUGCCUGUGUUUCGGGGCCUAACAGGAGCGUCUGGACUCCAGUCCCAUUGGGCCGCAUGGCAGUCACCCAGCAGUUUCAGGAGCCCUGGGCUGCAGGUGAAGACAUGUGGUUGUAAACUGAGCCCACACAGAUGGAAGGGGGAGAAUUUGAGUUCCCUUUGGGGGAGACCUGCAAGCCGGAGCCGCAGGCUGCUUCCUCAGCUCAGAGAAGAGGAUUUGUUUCUGUAAGGCCUCCUUCCCCAUGUUCACCCCGCCUACCUCCUUCAGUGAUUCUGAAUAAAAUAGGGGAAAAGUGAAGGGGGAUAGGUCUCUGGAGAGUCCUGGACCCAGGAAAUAAAGGCUUCUUAGCGGUGUCGCUGAGAUGACCUUGAGAGUGAGCGGUGGGUUAGAUAGGAGCAAUGAGGUAUACUAGAGCACGCAGAAUGCGUUCAUACUGUGAGACCCCAGCAGUACAGGCCAGCCUUGGUCUAUUGCUGUUCACUUGAUCGCGCCUUGUGAAUAUCCAUUUUUCACAGAUUGCUGAUUUGCGGUGACCCUGGGUCUGUGUGCUGUCCUUAGUCGCUCAGUCGUGUCUGACUCUCUGCGACCUCAUGGAUUGUAGCCUGCCAGGCUCCUCUGUCCGUGGGAGUCUCCAGGCAAGAAUACUGGAGUGGGUUGCCAUGCCAUUCUCCAGGGGAUCUUCCCAACCCAACAGUCGAACCCAGGUCUCCCACACUGCAGGUGGAUUCUUUACCAUCUGAGCCACCAGGGAAGCCCAAGAAUACUGGCGUGUGUAGCCUGCCCUUCUCCAGGGGAUCUUCUCGACUCAGGAGUUGACCCCGGGUCUCCUGCUUUGCAGGCAGAUUGUCCACCAGCCGAGCUACCAGGGAAGCCCACCCUGCGUCUGUCACGUGCCAUUUUUCCAACUGCAUUUGCUCACUUCCUGUUUCUGUGUCAUAUUUUGAUAAUUCUCUCAGUAUUUCCAACUUUUUCAUUAUUGCUAUAUUUUUAUGGUGAUCAGUGGUCUUAGAUGUGACUAUUGCAGUUGUUUUGGGCACCAUGAACCACGCCCAUACUAGAAGGCAGAUUUGAUUCAUGAAUGUUGUGUGUAUUCUGACUGCUCCGUGACCAGGUGUUCUCCUGUCUCUCCUUCUCCUUGGGCCUCCCUGUUCCUGAGAUACAAUAUUGAAAUUAGGCCAGUUAAUAACCCUGAAGUGAUCUCUCGGUGUUCAAGUGGAAGGAAGAGUCAAACGUCUUUCACUUUAAAUCAAAAGCUGGAAACAAGCUUAGUGAAAGCCAAGGCAGGCCAAAAGCUAGUCUUCUCACACCAAACCAUUAGCCAAGUUGUGAAUGCAAAGGGAAAGUUCCUGAAGGAAAUUAAAUGGGUGCUCCAGUGAACACAUGGACGAUAGGAAAGUGAAACAGCCUUACUGCUGAUACGGAGGAAGUUUGAGCAGUCUGGAUAGAAGAUCAGACCAGCCACGUUCCCUGAAGCCAAAGCCUAAUGCAGAGCAAGACCCCUACUCUCUCCAGUUCUGCGAAGGCUGAGAGGUGAGGAAGCUGCAGAAGUGGUUCGUGAGGUUGAAGGAAAGACGCCAUCUCUGUAACAUAAUAGUGCCUGGUGACACAGUGCACCGUGCAGAAGCGCUAGCUCAGUUCAUGCGUGAUGGCCCUGCGGUGAAUAGCAGACGUUCAGUGCAGGCGAUGAGACAGCCAUUAAGAACAUUCAUGAUUCUUGGGAAGAGGUUCAAGUAUCAAAAUACACAGCCCUCAUGGACAACUUUGAGGGGUUCAAAAUACAGUGGCGGAAUUAGCUGCAGAUGUGGUGGGAACAGCAAGAGAACUAGCAGUGGGGCCUGAAGAUGUGGCUGAAUUGCCGCAAUUUCAUGAUCAAACUUGAAGAGGAGAUUCUCCUUAUGGAUCGACAUGGAAGUGGUUUCGUGAGAUGGAAUCCAUUCCUGUGAAGAUGUUGUUAAGACUGCUGAAAUGACAACAAAGGAUUUAGACUACGACCUCAACUUCGUUGAUAAAACAGGUUUGAGAGGACCGACUCCAAUUUUGAAAGAAGUUCUGUUGUGGGCCAGGUGCUGUCCAGCAGCACUGCAAGCUUCAGAGAAGCUGUUCACCAAAGUCAGUCACUGCAGCCAGCCUCACUGGUGUCUCAUAUUAAGAAACUGCUGCAGCCACCACCCUGUCGGUCAGCAGAUCAGUGCUGAGGCAAGACCCUCCACCAGCAAACAGAGGAGGACUCUCUGAAGGCCAAGGUGAUGAUUAGAAUGUUAAAACAAUGAAAUAUGUUUACAUUAAGGCACAUACAUUGUGUUUUCAGACAUAAUGUUAUUGCAUGCUCAACAGACUACAGCAUAGUGGAAAUAUAACUUCCGUAAGCAGCAG